UAUUUGUAUUUAAGAAAGCAUCAUAUUUAGUGAGAAACAAAACAUUUUCGUUGGAUAAGAAAAGAUAUGAUACUACCAUAUAAAAUAUAAAAGAUCGGAGAGGAGAUAAUCAACCUAAGCCAGAGCUCCAAGAUUACCAAAUAUCUGGGCUAAAAUGAAAAAUAAUAAUAAUAAUAAUAAUAGACAGCAAUUUCUAAACACUAGCAGCAUACAACAAACUAGAUGCAUGAAGCCUUACACAGUUCCAAAAAACUUUAGGCUGGAGCAUCCCUAUGCACAACAAUAUCUCAUUGUCAACCUACACAAAACCAUGAUCGCUCAUCCUUUCAAAAUGCAUAGAAAUAUUUGUGGUUGAUUCUGAUUAGGAGCUUCCUUUGGAUCACUCGGCUUGAAAGAAAUUACUUUGAAGAUUUACUAGACUUAUUUAUUUGAUAUUAUAAUGUAUACAGCAGCCACUUGGUGCAGGGUUGAUAGAGCUUUCUGUAAUCACUUUCUUAGUGAUAUAUGUGCUAAUUGGAAGGAGCUUCCUUUGGAUCACUCGGCCUGAAAAGAAAUUACAUUGGAAAUGAGAAAACUACACUUUUUUAUUUGAUAUUAUAUUGUAUACAGCAGCCACUUGGUGCAGGGUUGAUGGAUCUUUCUGUAAUCACUUUCUCGAGGCAUCCUUCUCAAAAGACUUCAGCUUUUCCUUUCAGCCACCAACUUGAAAUAACUUCUGGAAGAUAGACUAAAAUAUCCCAAUGGAAACACCAACUCAAAUUGAACUUUUUGCAUAACCGCAACUAGCGAUAUGGGAGUAUAAUAUUAGAGGGAAAUUACAGAUAGAGAGUUUACAACAGAUAAUAAUAAUGAUGAUGAUGGGGUCUACCGAAGUAGCAAAUGGCAAGACGGUGGUCUGUUCAGUACUGUCGCCCCUCAAAAUCAUUGAACGGUCUCUGGUUUCUCUCACACCAAGGCUCCUAAAAUAAUACCUUUACACUAUUCUUCCAUAAGAUCUUGCUUCUUUUAAAAUUCAACCCGAAAAUAAGGCCAACCACGUUCCUACUAACUAAAUUGCAAAAAUUUAUUUCAAAUCAUAUCCAUGGAAUCAGGGUGACGCUAGAAUCCAAGGCUUAUAAAAUAUAUCUGCUAUAUUGUGGCUUCCAAACAUACUNCAAAAAAAAAAAAAAAAAAAAAAAAAAAAAAAAAAAAAAAAAAACUGCAUUUAUUGGAAUUUUUCUGGUUCCGAAUCAACUUAGCUAAAUAUUUAUCCAAAACCUACCACAUCUAGGUUUUUUUCUUUUUUUUUUUAAACGGACGAUUUCAUUGAUGAUUGAAAUUUACAAAAGGGAUGUAUAAUCUCUAGUGUUUACAAAAGACCUUCCCAAUUUGCAAUGAGGGAGGUAUAACUAUAGGAAGUAAAAAUAUUAGCCAGCUUACACCAAGAUAUAGCUUGGUAAACAACAUUGUCGAAAAGCUUUGUGUAGGUCUGUGUCGUUUCUGCAAAUAUUCUCUGAUUUCUUUCUUUCCACAGAUUCCAAAAGAAAGCCAUGAUGAGGUUUUUCCAUAAUAGGGCUUUUGCGUUC